rnacentral:snoRNA from 1 species
AGCGGGGUGAUGAGAGAACAUACACACCCGAUUGCCCCGCCAAUCAUGGCGGUGUGCGACUGAGGGCACUUUUUCAAAGUUCUCUGACCGCU